GGACGGGUGAGUAAUGCUUAGGAAUCUGCCUAUUAGUGGGGGACAACAUUCCGAAAGGAAUGCUAAUACCGCAUACGCCCUACGGGGGAAAGCAGGGGAUCUUCGGACCUUGCGCUAAUAGAUGAGCCUAAGUCAGAUUAGCUAGUUGGUGGGGUAAAGGCCUACCAAGGCGACGAUCUGUAGCGGGUCUGAGAGGAUGAUCCGCCACACUGGGACUGAGACACGGCCCAGACUCCUACGGGAGGCAGCAGUGGGGAAUAUUGGACAAUGGGCGAAAGCCUGAUCCAGCCAUGCCGCGUGUGUGAAGAAGGCCUUUUGGUUGUAAAGCACUUUAAGCGAGGAGGAGGCUACUUGGAUUAAUACUCUAGGAUAGUGGACGUUACUCGCAGAAUAAGCACCGGCUAACUCUGUGCCAGCAGCCGCGGUAAUACAGAGGGUGCGAGCGUUAAUCGGAUUUACUGGGCGUAAAGCGUGCGUAGGCGGCUUCUUAAGUCGGAUGUGAAAUCCCUGAGCUUAACUUAGGAAUUGCAUUCGAUACUGGGAAGCUAGAGUAUGGGAGAGGAUGGUAGAAUUCCAGGUGUAGCGGUGAAAUGCGUAGAGAUCUGGAGGAAUACCGAUGGCGAAGGCAGCCAUCUGGCCUAAUACUGACGCUGAGGUACGAAAGCAUGGGGAGCAAACAGGAUUAGAUACCCUGGUAGUCCAUGCCGUAAACGAUGUCUACUAGCCGUUGGGGCCUUUGAGGCUUUAGUGGCGCAGCUAACGCGAUAAGUAGACCGCCUGGGGAGUACGGUCGCAAGACUAA
rnacentral:rRNA from 1 species